rnacentral:rRNA from 1 species
UUGAACGCUGGCGGAAUGCUUUACCCCUGCAAGUCGAACGGCAGCACGGGAGCUUGCUCCUGGUGGCGAGUGGCGAACGGGUGAGUAACAUAUCGGAACGUACCCAGUCGUGGGGGAUAACUAUCCGAAAGGAUAGCUAAUACCGCAUACGUCCUGAGGGAGAAAGCGGGGGAUCGCAAGACCUCGCGCGAUUGGAGCGGCCGAUAUCGGAUUAGCUAGUUGGUGGGGUAAAGGCUCACCAAGGCGACGAUCCGUAGCGGGUCUGAGAGGACGACCCGCCACACUGGAACUGAGACACGGUCCAGACUCCUACGGGAGGCAGCAGUGGGGAAUUUUGGACAAUGGGGGCAACCCUGAUCCAGCCAUUCCGCGUGAGUGAAGAAGGCCUUCGGGUUGUAAAGCUCUUUCAGCAGGAACGAAACGGUCGGCUUUAAUAAAGUCGGCUAAUGACGGUACCUGCAGAAGAAGCACCGGCUAACUACGUG